GACGAACGCUGGCGGCGUGCUUAACACAUGCAAGUCGAACGGAAAGGCCCUGCUUUUGUGGGGUGCUCGAGUGGCGAACGGGUGAGUAACACGUGAGUAACCUGCCCUUGACUUUGGGAUAACUUCAGGAAACUGGGGCUAAUACCGGAUAGGAGCUCCUGCUGCAUGGUGGGGGUUGGAAAGUUUCGGCGGUUGGGGAUGGACUCGCGGCUUAUCAGCUUGUUGGUGGGGUAGUGGCUUACCAAGGCUUUGACGGGUAGCCGGCCUGAGAGGGUGACCGGCGGCAUUGGGACUGAGAGACGGCCCAGACGCCUACGGGAGGCAGCAGUGGGGACUAUUGCACAGUGGGGGGAAGCCUGAUGCGGCAACGCCGCGUGCGGGAUGACGGCCUGCGGGUUGUGAACCGCUUUCGCCUGUGACGAAGCGUGAGUGACGGUAAUGGGUAAAGAAGCACCGGCUAACUACGUG
rnacentral:rRNA from 1 species